rnacentral:lncRNA from 1 species
AAUUGUAGGAGAUCCUAUUAGCUUUAAUGUUUGAUGUUUGAAUAGUAGAAUCCUCAAUAGUAAGUAUGUUUUUGUAGCAGACUGACAUCCUCCAGAUGGGGUUGACUUAGGUCUAGGCACGGAAAUGAAUUUUUGUGGUGGCAAUUUUGUCGCAUGUUAAAAGUUAACUCAGAAUAUAUAAUGAAACUAUGAGGAUCCAACAUAUUUUUUAAUAAACUUGUAGCAGGUAAUGACACAGGUAGUUCUAGAGUGGGUCUUUGCACAAUGAGAUGAAGAACAUGAUCAGAUGGAUUGUGAGAUUCAUCAUUCUUAAGUAAGGAUGGUCUCAAAUUUGACCAAUGCAAACAUGGACGUGUGCUGCUAUAGAAUUUACAACUAUUUAUUGCCUUUAUAAUUAGCUGUCAGGGUUGCUACAUAAAAAUAUUA